UACGUAGGGUGCGAGCGUUAAUCGGAAUUACUGGGCGUAAAGUGUGCGCAGGCGGCCGAGCAAGUCGAGUGUGAAAGCCCCGAGCUUAACUUGGGAACUGCGCUCGAAACUACUUGGCUAGAGUGUGGCAGAGGGAGGUGGAAUUCCACGUGUAGCGGUGAAAUGCGUAGAGAUGUGGAGGAACACCGAUGGCGAAGGCAGCCUCCUGGGCCAACACUGACGCUGAGGAGCGAAAGCCAGGGGAGCGAAUGGG
rnacentral:rRNA from 1 species